rnacentral:ncRNA from 46 species
UGGCAGUGUCUUAGCUGGUUGU